UACAGAGGUCUCAAGCGUUGUUCGGAUUCAUUGGGCGUAAAGGGUGCGUAGGUGGCGCCGUAAGUCAGGUGUGAAAUUUCGGAGCUUAACUCCGAAACUGCAUUCGAUACUGCCGUGCUUGAGGACUGGAGAGGAGACUGGAAUUUAUGGUGUAGCGGUGAAAUGCGUAGAUAUCGUAAGGAAGACCAGUGGCGAAGGCGGGUCUCUGGACAGUUCCUGACGCUGAGGCACGAAGGUCAGGGGAGCAAACGGG
rnacentral:rRNA from 1 species